UUUGAACGCGAAGAACCUUACCAGGUCUUGACAUCCUCUGACAACCCUAGAGAUAGGGCUUUCCCUUCGGGGACAGAGUGACAGGUGGUGCAUGGUUGUCGUCAGCUCGUGUCGUGAGAUGUUGGGUUAAGUCCCGCAACGAGCGCAACCCUUGAUCUUAGUUGCCAGCAUUCAGUUGGGCACUCUAAGGUGACUGCCGGUGACAAACCGGAGGAAGGUGGGGAUGACGUCAAAUCAUCAUGCCCCUUAUGACCUGGGCUACACACGUGCUACAAUGGACAGAACAAAGGGCUGCAAGACCGCAAGGUUUAGCCAAUCCCAUAAAUCUGUUCUCAGUUCGGAUCGCAGUCUGCAACUCGACUGCGUGAAGCUGGAAUCGCUAGUAAUCGCGGAUCAGCAUGCCGCGGUGAAUACGUUCCCGGGUCUUGUACACACGCA
rnacentral:rRNA from 1 species